rnacentral:lncRNA from 1 species
GGGUGCGUUUGGUUUGGAGACAAGAUGGGAUGGGACGGUGCCGUCUCUAUUUUUUGGGAUGGGAUCAUCCCGUCUGCUGUUUGGUUGAGAGGGAUGAAUUCAUCCCAGUUUUUUGUUUGGUACGAUGGAUUGAAAACGAGGGACGGAUGGCUCGGGUAACACCGUUAGCUGCAUGUGUUUAGUGGGACCCACAUGUCAUAUAUGGGCCCACAUGUCAUCGUCUUUUCUUUUUUUUUUUCUCCUAACCCGUAUCUUCUCCAACGCUCCCUGCCGCCCCAAGCCGUGCCGCCCCCGCUGGAGCUCCCUACCGCCCCCGCCGGAGCUCCCUGCCGCCCAGGCCGUGGGCACCGGCCGCGGCACCGGGGGCGCUCGCCCCGCCGGCCGCUCGCCCCGCUCGCCCCAGGGGCCGCGGCGGAGCUCGCCCGUGCCGGCCGUGGCGGAUCUCGCGCCCGCCGGCCGGGGCGGAGCUCGCCCGCGCCGGCCCCUCCGCCCACAGCUCGUCCGCCGGCCGGGGCGGAGCUCGCCCGCGCCGGCCCCUCCGCCGGCGGCUCGCCCGCCGCCGGGGCGGAGCUCGCCCGCGCCGGCCCCUCCGCCUGCGGCUCGCCCGCCGGCUGGGGCGGAGCCCCACCGGUGCAGACGGCGCGUGACGGGGGCGAAGUGGGAUGCCCCCGUCCGCUCGUUUUGGUGGGACGGGGGCAUCCCGCAUCUGGAGGGUAUAUUCCCUCGUAGGGAUGUCCCCGUCCCACCUGUCCUCCAACCAAACGCGGGACGAAGUGGGAUCGUCCCGUCCCGUCCCACUUCGUCCUCGCAACCAAACGCACCCUCAGUCAGAGGAGAACCAUCGGUAUAAUGCAACAGCUNNNNNNNNNNNNNNNNNNNNNNNNNNNNNNNNNNNNNNNNNNNNNNNNNNNNNNNNNNNNNNNNNNNNNNNNNNNNNNNNNNNNNNNNNNNNNNNNNNNNAUUUAACAGCGAGUCGUGCAUUACAAGUCACAUACAUGUGGGACCCAUGUGUCAGCCAGCCAGUCAUAUUUGCUUUUCUUCCUUUUGUUCUCCCCCAUUUCUUUCACCUCCGAUUCGAUUCCCUGUCCCCUCCUUUCACACCCCGAUCGGCCGCCCCGCAAACCCUAACCAUCUAAAACCCCCGGGCCCUCUCCGAUGGCCGCCGCCUCGCCGCCGCGCUCCCCACCCGCCGCCAAGCGCCCCAAGAUGUCCUCCUCCUCCGACCCGGAGGCUGAUGCCGAGUCCACCUCGCCCUCCGCCGCCGGGGAGCCCCGCCGCCCCAGGUACAAGCGCCGCAAGGUCGCCAUCCUCCUCGGCUACUGCGGCGCGGGGUACCAGGGCAUGCAGAAGAACCCGGGCGCGCGCACCAUCGAGGGCGACCUCGAGGAGGCGCUCUACCAGGCGGGUGCCGUGCCGGAGGCCGACCGCGCCGCGCCGCGGCGGUACGAUUGGGCGCGCGCCGCGCGCACCGACAAGGGCGUCAGCGCCGCGGCGCAGGUGGUGUCCGGCCGAUUCUACGUCGACCCGCCAGGCUUCAUCGACCGCCUCAACGCCCAGCUCGCGCCGCAGAUCCACGCCUACGGCUACGUGCGCGUCACCAACUCCUUCAGCGCGAAGAAGUUUUGCGACCGCCGGAGGUACCUUUACCUGCUCCCCGUGUUCGCGCUUGACCCCAGCGCGCACCCGGACCGCGAGGCCGUCAUGGCGAGCAUGGGAAGUGGAAGCGAGCUGACCAAGUGCCUGGAGUGCUCCGAGAGGGGGAGGAAGGUGCCUGGUGUCAUGGGCCGGGAGGGGAAGCUGCCCAGCCCUGGGGUGAAUGGUACUGAUGCUCCCGUGGAGGGAACUGUGAACACUCAUGACGAAUCGGGAUCUAUUGGGGCUGCGAAAGGUGAUCCAACAGUUUCAGAAGAAACUCAAGCUGGAAAUGCUGAGCUGGGAUCAAAUGGUGCUAGUGAUGUUGUACCUUCAGGUACUGGAUAGAAAUCAAGUCUUGCAAUGCUAAUUUGUGUUAGCCAGUGUUAAUUAUAUUUUUGUUCCAAUCUGAAUACAGGUUCAGCUGAUGCAGAUGCUUCAAUCGGCAAUGAGGAGAAUAAACUUGAGGCCACAGCUACUGAAGAGAAAGUACAAGGUAUGGAUUUCGAGAAUAGCAAUGGAGAAGAGAAGCCACCAACCAAGAGUGACUUUUCUUACAAUGAUGAGAUGAAGGAGAGGUUCAACAGGAUUCUCAAGUACUAUGUUGGAACCCAUAAUUUCCACAACUUCACCACAAGAACUAAGGCAGAGGAUCCUGCAGCCAAAAGGUUUAUUAUUUCCUUUGCUGCCGAUCGUGUUGUUAGCCUGGAUGGGAUUGAUUUUGUCAGGUGUGAAGUUGUUGGCCAGAGUUUCAUGCUCCAUCAGAUCCGGAAGAUGAUUGGCCUUGCUGUAGCUGUGAUGAGAAACUGUGCACCUGAAUCGAUUUAUGAUGUUGCCUUCCGCAAGUAUGAUUCUUAUAAGCUGAUGUGGGUUUAACAGUCCAUUUGUGUAUAUUUACACACUAAAUGUUUAUUUAUGCCAUAUCUGUGUUGCAGGGAUGUCAAACUUAACGUGCCUACAGCACCUGAGGUUGGGUUGUACCUAGAUGAAUGCAUGUUCACCUCAUACAACAAGAAAUGGAAGGAUUCGCAUGAGGCAGUUUCCAUGGAACCUUAUUGUGAGGAGGCUGAAGAGUUCAAGGUCAAGUAUAUUUUCCCUCAUAUUGCGGCGAUGGAACACAAGGAGGGAGCUGUAGCUUUGUGGUUGCACUCAUUAAAUCACAGGAAUUAUCCAGAUUUCCGCUACAUGGAAACUGCUGGUGCUGAGGCCAAGGUUGGGGCUGAAGUUGCUGCUGGUGCAGAGGUCAACGUUGGGGCUGAAAAUGAUGGUAUCGAAGAAGUACAAAUGCCAAGUGAUAAUGUGAGUGAGUAAAUCAAUUUUGCCUUGGGGCAUACAAAGCCAAUGAGUAUAUUUGCUUAAUGUAUGCACCGAAAGAGGGACCUGAGACACUGCUUAUGGGAUGAAAUAAAGAAUGAAGAUGGUAUCAAAAGGCUAAGGUGCAUGGAUUUAUACAACGGUGUUUUCUUUAGGCAAUACAUCAUGAUCCCUAUAUUAAUCUUCCCAGAAUAGAAUUUAUAGGUUGAUUAAUCUUAUAUCUGAACUUAAUCAGUUACUUCCAUACAGUUGUAUGGAAAAUGAUGGCGCCUGAAAAUGCUUCAGCAAUGUUUUUGUUUGCUGAAAUUGUUAUGGAAUUCACUAUAUUUCGUCUUAUCUAGCAUAUAAAUGAAUUUUUCUUGCAUUUUUUCCGUUAGCUAGUAGCUGUAUUUUAUGCAUUCACAUAAUUUGCUUGAUGUGCGUCAAAUUUCUCUGCAGCAUAUCUAUUGGUAUUACUAGCACAUUUCUGUUUGAGCACUUUUUUUUUUUUGGGGGGGGGGGGGCAAGGGCUGUUCCAGGCAUGCAAGCCUAGUUUUUAGGAUCGGACCGGACCGGCGGUCCGACCGGAACCGGAGCCCCCGCCGGUCCGGUCCAGGUAAAAGAUCGCCCGUGCAAUCAGACUGGAUUAAACCGCUUUGACCGGCCGGUUUUCAGGGAAAACCGGUAGAAAACUGCACAUUUGACCCGCGGCUCGACCGGUUGGGCACACGUCACGUGGGUGGAGCAACGUGGGGAGGGGGAAAUAUGCCCAAAAAUAGAUGGCGGAGGGGUUCGAAACCAGGUUGGAGCUGUCCAAGAUGUUGGUUCCCACCACUAGGCCACAUUGCAGCUUGUGUUGUAUGACGAAACUUAAGUCUAUUUGAACCGGUAUAAACCGCUGGUUCAACCGGUUGUUUCAAUGAACCAUUGAACCGAGCACCCGAGCGGUUCGAUGACGUUGCAUGUCUCAAUAACCGAAUUGUGCCAGUUCGUAGCUGACUCUAAUAUCCAGCAUUGACCUGAUUCAACCGGUUGUUUCAAUGAACCAUUGAACCGAGCACCCGAGCGGUUCGAUGACGUUGCAUGUCUCAAUAACCGAAUUGUGCCAGUUCGUAGCUGACUCUAAUAUCCAGCAUUGACCUGAUACAGUUGUAGGUAUGCAGGCAGCUCAUGCUUAUUUCCUAGACAGUAAUUUUAUUUCCAGGGUAUAUUUUUUUUAGGUGAAACUAGAUUGUCAAUAAUGCCAUGGAAAGAAUAUUUUGUCCGCUGCUUAUUUUAGAGUAUUGGUUAAAUGAUGGGUCCCUGAUUUCAGCUCUUAUCAGAAAAGUUGUACUAUUUUUUAAGUGAUGGUGUCCUGUAGCAUUUUAUCAUUUGAAGUUAUCCGGCCUGUUCGCUUCAGCUUAUUCAGCCGACUUAUCAGCCACCAAACAGUAUUUUCUAUAAGCUGAAGCGAACAGGCCCAUCAUGUCGGAAACUGAACCACUACAUUAUUCUUAUCAAAAAAAGAAAUUGCUAACCUUGAAAGCCUCCAUGGUUAUAUGGGAGAAGGAGAGGACUAAAUCUGAGCUCUCUAUUAUUCUUAUUUGGUGGCUUGGUGGACUACAUUAGUACAGUUAUCUCCUGUGUCCAUAACACAUUUUGAUCUCUUAAAUCCUUUCCACUACUACUUAUCACUAUACAUAUCUUAUUUAAUAGAAAAUGAAAGGUACUCCCAAUUUUUCACAGAUUUGGGGUGAAUGAAAAAGACAAAUGUACCCUUAGUUAGUUCAGUUUGCAUAUAGAAAAUGGAGAAAAUAUGUUUCCAUUUAAUCAUGCAUGCACUAGAUCAACGCGCCAAAUUAUGCAUGCAUAAGAUUUAAGUCCUAGAAUGUUAUUCUUUUUGGGACAAAUUUUGAAUGCCAAAAUAUCAUUCUUUUUUGGACGGAGGGAGUAUAUCUGAUCGUCAGUGGAACAUAGGGAUCAGAAUGCUAAGAUGUGGUUAUAUGUUCACAGUGCUUAGGCAAUGCAUCAAUACAUCAUGACCCCUAGUUUAAUCUUCCCAGAUAAGAAUCUCUGGAAUCUGGAUUGAUUUAUCGUCUAUCUGUGCCAUGUUGUUUGCUCCUGACAGUUGUAUGACAAAUUAUUUCACCUGAAAGUGCUUCAGUAAUGUUUUGUUUUCUGAAAUUGUUACUAGCAUGUCUUAUAGAUGCAGUAGGUUCUCACAUAUCUGAUGGCUUAUAGAUGCAUGUCUAUUCACGGUACGGCAUCAAGUGUCUAUUAACUGUAUCAAGUUUGAAAGUUCCUCUCAUUCAUUUCACUUGCAGCAUAAUUGCUAUUAUUACUAGCAUCCUUGUUUCAGCUGAUGGAAUCAAUUAUUCUAGGCAUGUAAAUUAUGAGGCUUCACAUCCUGCAUGUAAAUUAUGAGGCUUCACAUCCUGCAUGUAACAGAUGCAUACAGUGCCAGCGUUCUCAUGGUUACCACCUGACUAACCCUGACCCUGCUGACCUACUUGGUGUGAUACCCUGGCUUAUGCUUGUUUCCUAAACAAAUUGAUGUCUAUCUGAAGAUCUCCCAAGAGUCUGUCUUUGUAGGUGAAAUAGAACUGUCAACGAUGCAAAUGAUAGAAUCUUCUCUCCACUGAUUAUUUUAAGUACCGGAGAAAUGAUUGUACCACUUGCAGAUAGAGUUGUACUACUAUGCAUUGGGUGGUGGUGUAGCAUUUUGGCUCCGUUUGGAUACCCUCUGUUUUAGGAUGUUGGGAUGCUAAUUAGGAGUAUUAAACAGUUUAAUUACAAAACUAAUUGUAGAGAUGGAGUCUAAUUCGCAAGAUAAAUCUAUUAAACCUAAUUAGUUCAUGAUUUGACAAUGUGGUGCUACAGUAACCAUCGCUAAUGAUGGAUUAAUUAGGCUUAAUAGAUUCGUCUCGCGAAUUAGUACAAGGAUUCUGCAAUUAGUUUUAUAAUUAGCUCAUGUUUAGUCAUCUUAAUUAGCAUCUGAAUAUUCGAUGUGACACUACUAUUUAGUAGUAGCACAUCCAAUCAAACACCCCCUUUUAAGCUAUCAUGUGGGAAAGCGAACCACUACACCAGUCUUGUCCAUAAAGAAAUUGCUAACGUAAGCCUCCAUGUGUUCCUGUUUGGUGUCUUAUCCAUAAAGAAAUUGCUAACAUAAGCCUCCAUGUGUACCUGUUUGGUGGUUUGGUCCGGCGAGAUUUGUGGAUUUCUUCUGUUUUUACUUGUGGGGCUAAGGAAUUCGUUCCCUUCCCCCAAUUUUCUGUUGUUCUACUACUGUGAACCACUACAUCAGUAUUAAAAAAAAGUAGGCGUGAUCAUGUCAUUCCGGGAUGGAAUGAUGGUUGGAAAUGGUUCGGGAAUCGCGUCUCUUUUAUCGUCUUUUCCUUGUUACUCUUGCACACAUGCAGGCAAAGCCAAAGCCAUCUCCUUGAAUCCAAAAAAAUAUUUGGAUCUCCUUAUCCUUUACACAUCUAAACUAUGGUACUGCAAGGUCCUCCAUCAAACCAGGCAAGAGGCCUUGUAAGCUAACACUACGGUACUGUCACCUAGAACUAGAAGAACAUAGAAGUGCCCCCGCCUGGCGGCGGCUAGGAGACGUAGCGGAGCGAGUGCAGGGAGGCCGAGGUGUCCAUGGACGCGGCGUCGUACAUGCAGCGGCUCUCCGUGGCCUCGAUGCCGUAGUCCAUGAGCGGGCGGCGCUCAAGCUCCUCGUCAUGCUCGCGCACGCAGUCCGGGACCUCGAGCUGCCCCUUGUCCAUGUGCGCCCACACGUACUCGAGCCUGCUCAUGUACCUCAGCUUCUCGUACAGCCUGCAAGAGGACCGUAUCGUCAAUGGGAACGGCAGCUGAUCGGAUCGCGGUAAAAGCAAUUCAGCUGCAUCAUCACCGUACCCGGAGCUGAAGAGGAAGCGGCCGAAGGUGGCGAAGAAGAACCUGGACUGGAGGGCCGGGUGCACGAAGUAGACGGCGCGCAGCCUCCCCUUGUCGCCGGCCGGCAGCGACUCGUAGGCCGCGCGGAUCGCGCCGACGCCGGGGAAGUUGCCGCCGCGGUCCACGCGCGAGUGCAUGUACACGACCACGAAAUCCCGGCCCCCGAUCGCCGGGAGCAUGCGCUCCCGCAGGUAACCCCGCAGUGCCUCCUCCGCCCGCCCGCCCAGCGCUCGCGCUGCACAUAGAAACAGAGGCAUGGUCCAUCAAUUUCCGCCGGAGCCCAGAAGCCUGUGAUUUGGGGAAAAUCUGACCCUACCUGGGAAGUAGUUGCCGACGAUCCUGACGACGGCGCGGCCCUUCCUGUCGCGGCCCUGGAGCGUGAUCGCCCGGCUGCGCUCCAGCAGCAGCUCCGGCUCGCCCGUCUCGUCCUUCUCAACUGUAACCACCACCAUGGCCUCCGUCUUCCUUUUUUCCCCUCCUUCCCUUCUUGUGUUGUGUGCGUGCUCGCCGUUCGUACCGGUACGAUCCGAGUGCUUUGAGGGGGGUCGCACGGGUGCGCGCUUAAAUACGGGCGAUCCGGUCCGAGCGGCUCGGCGCCGGCGCGGGCGUGGGGCCGUGGGGGAGUAGUAGAUGGGGAAAUGGGGGUGGUGCGGCGCGGCGGGGGCUGGCCACUGGGCCGUCGCGCGGGGGAUGGGCGCGGGCGGUGGAUGCGGGAUCCCGGGGAAUAUGCUGGGGACAUUUCGGUUGGGGGGUGGAGCGGAUUGGCUCGGCGCGGGGGAGGCAGGCCACGACCGUCCGCGCGGGCGUUCUCGGCUUCUGGCUUCUGCCUCGCGGGAUCAGAAAUAGAAUGAGCAGGAAACCGGGGCGGCUAAUAGCGUGCGUGACUGCCUGUGCUAAAUUUUAGUCCAUAUCACAUCGGAUGUUUGAACACUAAUUAGAAGUAUUAAACAUAGGCUAAUUACAAAAUUAAUUACACAACCCCUAGGUUAAAUCGCGAGGCGAAUCUAUUAAGCCUAAUUAAAUCUAGAGGUUCUGCUAUUAGUUUUAUAAUUAGCUCAUAUUUAGUCCUCCUAAUUACCAUCCGAACAUCUGAUAUGAGAGGAGUAAACUUUAGCCCCUGCAAUCCAAACACCCCCGUAGUACUCGUUCCUGUGGGCGGCGGCGGCGGCUGCGUGCCGGUUGCCUCCGGAUGGGUUGUUGGAUCGGCGGCCUGACCUUAUCGCUUCCGUUGGAGCCGGUUGAUCGCUUCAGCAGUUGAACUUUGACGCAUGGGGCUGCCAGUGCCCGGCGAUCUGUUGCUGCUGGAGUGCUGGUCGGUUCCUACCUACUGCAGAUGCAGCUUUAAUUUGGACCUCGUCAUGAUGGUUGCUAUAGAAGAUUUUUAACAUUGUUUGAUCUGAUAUAAAAGGAAAGAUAACAGGCCGCGUCCGCCAUGGAUCGGGCCCAACAAUACCUGGACAUUUCAUUUAGUGUGACGAUUACAGCAAGAGUUUCGGCCAGGCCCAAACAACCCUUUGAAUUGUGAUGCUCCAGUCUUGCAAGUUGCAACAUCCAAGCGUGAGAUUACAGCUGAGGGCGGGAGCGAAUUAGAAGUCCUGCCUGAGAUGCCAUCGUACUACUCCGGUGACGCCGAUGAGGGUACUCACAAAAGUCUGAGCCGUGUUCAGAGGAGUCAGGAGGCAUGCUUCGAACCAUUCCAUCCCGGGGGCGGGUCUUCGUCAGAGAUGAGUACUGAAAUGACCUGAAUCCUGACAUUGCACCACUUACCAAUCGUUGCUGCUGCCGUUGUUCCAAAUUUCUUUUAAAAAAAAUCUCCUACCAUCUUUUGCAGACGUGAAAGAAACAGCCCUGGCAUAAAAAUGCCUGGUCGGAACUCUUGCCUGUAACCUGCCGAGCAUGCUCGCGGUACCUCCCAGCUUGGGAUCCGUUUAGUACUCCAUACGUAUACUUUUUCUGAGUUUGAAAGCCAGAAUUUCGCACUAUAAUCUCCUAAAAUUUAUCUUCCUGUCUGCUAGGUCCCGGAAAAGGUUGGCUUCAUGAUCCUAAUGCGUAGCAUAACGUGACUACUGACUAGGCCAUCAGCGUACGAUCAUCACCACGCUUUUGAACACCCAGGGUCGAGACAACACAGGAGGCUCCGAUCCUUGUGGGUUCAUUCAUGCUCGCAAACCGUAAUGAUCCCUUCUGUGCCAGGAUUGCGCAUUUUAGUAUCGAACGACCCCCGUACCCCUACCCAUAAAUAUAAAACAGUUCAUGGCCAUCACGUACUACGUACGCUGCAGGCACUCGAAACCUGAUACGGCCGCUAUCAUGUACCUCGGUCAAAGCGGCACACACGCAUGAAUCAAUGCGGUACGCAGACGGGGGCACCCGCAAUCAUACGCUGGGAGCGUUGGCACUUGGCACUUGGCAGUGGCCGCUGCGGCACGCGUCAGUACUGGGGGGCACGCAGCGGCCUCGGGGCAGCCCACCGCUGGCUCCGGCCGCACGGCAUCGGCAUGCAUCGCCCCAUGAUUAAGCGACCGGGCAUGCAGCAACGGCUAUGGGCUCUCUCGCACUCGCGCCUCGUCUCGCCCAGCGCCGGCCGGCCUGGGCCAGCGGAGCCGCAGAGAGAUCAGGAGGGAUCAAUGCGAAGUGAUGGCCUGAUGGGCCAGCGGCGCCAGUUCGUCCGUCCGUCCUCCCCUUGGAAAUGAUGGGUGCCUACGUGCCGCACACUGAUUUCGCUUUGGGAAAUGAUCAUUUUUUUUUCCUUGCAGGGGAGGAGGAGGUGAGAAUGUGAGAUGAGAUGAGGGGAGAUCGAUGAGUACCGCUUUUCCCAUGAUGGUUUUCAUCACUGCAGCUCACGGAGGGGGUCACGGCACGGGCACGCAGAGUCUAGCUAGGGGCGUCUAGCUAGGCAAAAGAGCUGCGCAGUGCCGGUCAUCGUCGCUACACUGCUCUUUCUCAGUAUGCAGACACGGGGUCACUGCACAGCAUUUUGGAACUGCUACCUCUCGUGCUGAUUCCUUUCUGGCUGAUUAGUGUGCUAAUUUUCUUCUAUAUAUUUCCCAUACACUCUAGGUUGUGUGCCAACAGAAAGCGAGCGCGUCAUCGAGGACUAGGGCCAGCAUGCACAUUGUAUGAUUGAGGGUUUUGCUAGCCGGAGUAAAGGCAGAAGAUGAGCAAAUCUACCACUAAUUUAUAGCGCCCUGAGGCAGGAGAAGAUGAACUUUUUGUCCUCUUUGCGGAGAGCUGUGAUGGUGUUAAAGCCAGCCAGCACAGAUCUCUAUAGUUUUGACAACUUUUGUUUCCUCCUGAGAAAAGAUUGUGUACCAUACCGACAUGUCGCCGCAACGUUCGGCUUCAACGAUACUAAAGUUUAGUCCUGUCACAUCGAAUGUUUAGAUACUAAUUAUGAGUAUUAAAUAUAAUCUAAUUACAAAACUAAUUAUACAGAUGGAGUCUAAUUCGUGAGACGAAUCUAUUAAGGGGGUGUUUGGAAGGAGGGGGUUAAAUUUUGGCCCCCGUCACAUCGAAUGUUUGGACACUAAUUAGGAGUAUUAAACUUAGACUAAUUAUAAAAUUAAUUACACAACCUCUAGGCUAAAUUGCGAGACGAAUCUAUUAAGUCUAAUUAGUCCAUAAUUUGAUAAUGUGGUGCUACAGUAACCAUUCACUAAUUAUGGAUUAAUUAGGCUUAAUAGAUUCGUCUCGCGAUUUAGCUUAGGGGUUCUGCAAUUAGUUUUGUAAUUAGCUUAUGUUUAGUCCUUCUAAUUAGUAUCCGAACAUCCGAUGUGACAGGGCUAAAAUUUAGCUCCUGGUAUCCAAACGCCCCCUGCCUAAUUAGUUCAUGAUUUAAUAAUGUGGUGCUACAAUAACCAUUUGCUAAUGUAGAAUUAAUUAGGCUUAAUAGAUUCAUCUCGCGAAUUAGCUUAGGAAUUCUGCAAUUAGUUUUAUAAUUAAUUCAUUUUUAACCCUUCUAAUUAGUAUCCGAACAUAUGAUGUAACAGGACUAAACUUUAACCCUGGUAUCAAACACCCACUAACGAGAAGCUAGGGCACAAUUGGAACAAAACCUGGGCCUUGUUUAGUUGGCUAAAUUGGAAGGUGACAAAUUACUGUGCUGGCACUGUAGCACACUGUAGUGUUUCGUUUGUGUUUGUGAAUUAUUGUCCAAACAUUGACUAAUUAGGCUCAAAAGAUUCGUCUCGCCAAGUACAACAAAACUGUGCAUUUAGUUUUUAAUUUCAUCUACAUUUAGUACUUCAUGCAUGUACCGCAAGUUUGAUGUGAUGGGGAAUUUUCUUUUUGCAUAGUGUUAAAGUUGGGAGUUGGGGGUGAAGUAAACAAGGGCCUUGCUUGCUUGCUGCCAUCGUAAUUGCAGCACUUGGGAGUUCAAACCUGUACUUGCACAGGUUGACAGGCAUUUAACUCGGCGCACGUGCCGAACCGAAAAUAACCGUGGGACGUCGUCUUCGUCUGGCAUCGAAUGGUGGGGGACUGAAGGUUGGUGAGGCAGAUCUGGAGCGAUUCAAUGCUGGGUCGUUCAGCAGCAUGCACGAUGCAUCGCUGCGCCCUCCGCGUCCUUGCGUGGAUUAGAUUCAGAUUUCGGCAGCAGGAUCCCGAUGGAAGGUGCCUACUGUCUCCUACCACCACUCCACCAGGUACUAGCCGCAGACAGGCAGGCAGCGAGGGAGCUGAUGGAAUUUAUGAUGAUCCAUCGAUUUGGAGGUGGGGGCGCGCAUCAUCAGUGGCGGUGCAUCGGGGGACAAAAGGCAAGAAUUUGGAGCAGCCCGCUGCCGUGGCGGGUGCGCCCACGGCGGCCCACAUUUCUGGCAGGGCGCCUCUUCUUCCCGCCGCGCACCACUAGCAAGCAGCAGCAGUAAGCAGCACUGCUGCUCGGUCACGAUCUCUUCUCGCUCGUCAUCAGAGGCGGCGAGUAGUGCACACACUGUUGCAUCGGGGUAUCCUAAGGCGCCGCCACGAUGCAGUUCUACUGUCGCGGCGGAUGCAUGCGUUCGGUCAAUGUGUCCGAGAGGGAGGUCUGCUCCCUUUUCGAUUGCACGACUAUUGCUCGCCAUGGUUUCUCGCUGCAAGAGAACGCGCAGCGUCCAACAGAGUCCGGAGUCCCCUAUUGACUGCAGCUAUCAACUGGUGAAAGCUAAAAGGGUUUUAAGUGGGUUUGGUCAAGACUGUCAACCCCCCCACUUUUCAGCGGAAUUUAUGUUUUCCAUGAGAAUUUCAUAUGUUAAGCCUCACGGUGAACGGUGAAGGUAAUGCUUCUUAGAGAGCAAGUAUAAUAAGAUUAUGUAGUGGGGGCUGUAUGAAAUAACACAUCUUAUAUUUUUACUAAGUUGGAUGAGAGAUACUCCUAAGAGAAGCGAGCUGCAAGCUGGUCGAGAGCAAGCUGCAACAUGGACUUAAAAUAAAUUUGGUGAUUUGGUGAGAGAAGGAUUGAGAAGAUAUUGAUCCAAUAUCAUCGUGUAUUCCGCACGUUAGCCAACUAUUGUAUGGAUGGGCUAUUAGGUUGGUUUAAAAUGAUACGGCAACAAGAUAUAGGUAGCAACAGGCUAAAUCAUUAGCCAUGCUCUUAAGUAACUCUAGCAUAUCUCCUUUUCUUAAUCCCCACUCUCUAAUAAUUGGUUGAAGGGGAAUCCUUAAUGACCGUUCCAUAAACAUCCUUUUCUUAAUCCGCAAUAACAGGUUAUUAUAGGGCAUAAUAGUAAUGGAGCGGGCGAGCUGCAAGGUUGUUCCUCGGGUUAGGUCGAAACCAGCUAACCCACCAACCCAGCCUAAUCGGACCGUAGAAGCGGGUUUGGGCAAAGCGGGUUUGGGCGAGUUAGGUCCUGUUUAUUUCCCACCUCCUAAAAUUUUAGCUCCUAAAAAGUUUUAGUCAGUUUUUAGUCCAUGAUCUAAAGCAUGUUUGGUUCCACCUCCAAAAACUGACUAAAAGCAAUAAAUGUUAUGGCAAAAUGAUCAUACUGCCCUCCUCCCAUGCCCCUGCUCCUUCUCUGCCCGCCCCUCCCCUCUUCCUGCUUCCCUGCACACACGCAGCUGUCUGAGCCCUCUCGCUGCCCCGCCGAUGGCGGCCGACGCCCUCCUCCCAUCGGCGCCGCCUCCUCCCAUCCUCCCGCUGGCGCCCCUCCCCUCUCUCCUUCCCUCGGCCGCCCCCCUCCCCUCCUCUUCUUCCCCGGCGUCGCCCCCUACCCUCCAAUCAAGGCUGCCGCACCCCUCCCCUCCUUUUCUUCCUCGACCACCGCCUCCUCCCCUCCUCCCGCUGGCGCCGUCCCCUCCCCUCUAAUCCCGGCCGCCGUGCCCCUCCCCUCCUCCUCUUCCCGGCACCGCCCCCCCUCCCGGUCCUCCCUCGCCCGGAUCCGGUGGUGGCGGGAAUCCGGCGAGGGAGCGCCCGGCCGACCCGUGCGGCGGCACAAGGGAGCGGGGGUGGCGGACCUAGCGGGGGAUGGCACGGCCGCCGAUGAGAGGUCACGGGUGCCGGCGUGGAGGAGGGAGGGAGCGGCAGCGGGGUUGGGGAGAGUGCGGUCGGGAAGAGGGUGCGGGGGUAGAGGCAAUAAAGGAGGGGUAGUGGGAGUCCAACACUGGAUUUAGGAGGUUUUGGGAGGGGGUGAGGGGACUAUAAGUUUUGAGCCUCCUAAAACUUUUUAGUCACUUUUUAGGAGGAGUGUUUGGCUCUUUAGUCACAUUUUAGUCAUUUUUUAGGAGCUAAAAUUUAGGAGGGUGGAAACAAACAGGGCCUUAGUUGGUUUCUGGUUAGAGCCUAUGUGUCUAGCAACGGGUUAGGGUUGAACACAGUUUAGAACCACGCAAACCUGCUCAGCCCGUCCUAAUUCGUGCGCACAUGAUGUUUCAGCGGCAGCAAUAACAAUUCUACUUCCUAUGGCAGAGAUCUACGUGGCGUCCAUGACUCCUUGCGAUCGGUGGCAGUGCAGGCGUGAAUCUGGAUGUCUAUGGGAUGGCAAUGGAGGAGAGCAAUCUUAUAGAGUUACAUCUCCAUGGCAGCAUCAAAACAGAGCGCUCAGCCCGGUUGGAAGACAAGGCAAGUUCGUCAGCGCUACCCUUGGAGCUACUCAUAUCUCUGCGUUGGAAUCGUAGUCAAACAGUUGACCGAUGUCUUAGCUAAGAUUGUGCCACGUGUGGGAGCAUGCUCAAGCAUAGCGGCCGCUCAACAGUUGGUGUGAUCUGGAUAAGUCCUGUACAUCCUGUGGUUGUCGUACAUAUAUCUAUGGGCCCACUAAAAGGUUUGGAUAGACCCAAAUAUAAGGCUGGACACUGAGAUGCAUCUAACAUGGAGACCAUGACGCAAUACGGUGCAGUCUACAUGGAAAGAUGAGAACUAGUCGAGGAUUAGUAAAAUACUCGUUGUAAUAUGGCAGGCUUCUUCUAGUCGUAUUCGACUAGUAUUCUCGUAACCAACCAACCUGUAACCCUGCUCCCGACUAUAUAAGGCAAGGCAGGGACCCCCUCCAAAGCAAUUCAAUUAACCCAACACACAUGAUGUAGGGUAUUACGCAAUCUAGUGGCACGUACCUGUCUAAAUCAUGUCUGCGUUUACCUUCGAUUUUCUGAUCUUGAUGAGCCCCACCAACUAAACACUACCUCAGGCACCCCCCUUGGUAGGUUGUCGGGUCUAAACACCGACAGCUGGCGCACCAGGUGGGGGAUACCAUCAAGAAUCCACUAGUGAACUCGAUGGCAUAAGUCAUCAUCAAGCCCAUCAUCGUGUUUGAAGCAGGCGUGACGUUCAUCUUUGGCUCCUAGGUUUGCAAUGCAGACGGCGCUAGAAAUUUCCGCCGCCACAUUGCAUCGGCCCGGAGAAGAAGCAACAAACCAUAAAGCUUCACCGCCAAGCUCCGGAGGAUCUCGCCGAGAAUUUCGACAAUUUUUCAAUUUCUGACCUAGUCAGAGGCUGGGGGGACGAGCCUGAGUACUACUCGACUUCUUCCGCCAGUCGGAUUGACUUGCACGAGCCAGCGCAUAAGCCAUCUUGCGAGUCGGAUUACCACUAGAGUCGAUUAUCGUUCGGACUCUGCAACGCGACCACUAUUUAUCCGACGACCCUGUCCAGAUCACAAUCCGAUCCGGAUACGAUCGAGGACCUCGACUACUACUUGGAUCCGGACGAGGAAACUCCUUUAUUAAGUCUGUAGCAGGUGUUGGUAAUCACAUCAACUCCGCAAGGCAGAUUUGUCUACUGCCCCAAUAUGAAGCCACCCGCUCUGGCCAAGGAUGAUGAUUUUCGCGCCUCAUUGCCUACCUCAACACUCUCCUGUACUAGGAGGGAGCUCCUCUAUUGCUCAUCUAUGAGGAAGGUGGCACCAUGGAGGUCAUCACUUCAAGCUCGGGAAGCUACUCUCGAGAGCAAGAACUCUUCGUCGUCGUUGAUGGACAAGAGGAUGAAGAAAAAGAACGACGUGAUAGAAAUCCACAAUAUGAGCGUCACCUAGAUGACGCUCGCUAGAUGAGCUCACCACAAAUGUUGUCGAAGAAGAGACCGAAGCUCAAAGAACUCAACGACGAGCAAGAAACAAUGCAAGAGCAGAGCGCCGCCACCGCCUUGUAGCGGAUCUACCAAUCCAGUGUUGGAGGUAUGCUCUAGAGGCAAUUUUAGAGAUGAUGAUAUUCCAUUGUAUCCAUAUUUUAUAUUGUGUUCCUUCAAUAUGCAUUAAAGGCUACUUGAAUUGAUUUGCAAUUAUGUGAAUUGUGUGUGAAACUCUUUACUUGUGUGGCUAUAUCUCUGAGCCCCUCUAGUGAUCGGAUCUGAAAAUGCACGGCCAUGCUACGUGAGGUUAAGAGUUAACUUAGAGAGGGAUUUCGAAUCACACGAUCGAGAAAGAGAGGUCAGCUUGGAGCUAGACCAAAUAUCGUGAGGCAAAGGAAAUAGCAUUUACGUGAUGUUAUGAUGGUUCGUCUGAUAUGAUCUUCGUGUGCGUAUAGGAGUUAGCAUGCCUUGCUAGAGGCUGCUACUAACUAUUGGCCGAGUAGGAGUACUCGCGCCAUGUCUAUACGUAUGUGAAACUAUAGGGUCGCACACUUAAGGGGUUGGAAGUCCAAUGAGGAUAUGACCCGAAUUGGACCAGGUUUAGGAGUACUAAUGGGCCUCAAACCUAGAGGCCCGUCAGGGAACACUAUAUAUUGAGGGGUAGCGACGGCUUAGGGUUUAACCCUUUUGGCCGAACCUCAGCCGCGCCCCUCCACGCCCUCGCCUUGUUACACUCGAAGACCUAGCAGUCCAGCUUGCAACGCUUCCUCCCCGCACAUGUGGAUAUCUUGGAGGUGUUGCAUCUGCAGCACUUGGAUGAGCUACCACAUGAGAGCCUGACGAGCCAGUAAGGAGCUUGACGAGCCGUCGUGCGAGGAGGAGCUGCUGGACAUGGACGUGUUCGACUACAUUGCGGCAACGUGUGAUCGACUACAAUGUCCCGACGCGCUUCAUCAACUUCCGCAUCUGCACGUCUAGUGGUAAUCCCGUGAUCCAUAUACGACAGUUUUCCUAGUUUACGUGGUAGAAUUUUUGUUUUGCGCUAGCAUAGCCUACCUCGUAACCCUUCAUCCUGAACGUGGAUAACGCCUUUGAAGCAGUUCAAACACGCCACCAUUGUACUCCUCUGACUACCAUCGCGUCUAUUGAUCUCAUCACCCGCGUGAUGCCCCAGAACAAGUACACUAGACAAUUGGCUGAACUGGCAGAACUCGCGUAUGAACAACUCGAUCAGCAGAAUCUGAUACAGUCAGUCCAAUGCUCUGCAUCCUAGUGAAGUUAACAUGGCAGCAGCCAUAGAGGCCCUCCAUCAAGACAAAGUCAACUCGGAGGUGCCAGACCAAGCC